rnacentral:rRNA from 1 species
GACGAACGCUGGCGGCGUGCCUAAUACAUGCAAGUCGAGCGAGCGGCGGACGGGUGAGUAAUGUCUGGGAAACUGCCUGCUGGAGGGGGAUAACUACUGGAAACGGUAGCUAAUACCGCAUACCAUCAGAUGUGCCCAGAUGGGAUUAGCUAGUGGGUUGGGUAAUGGCUAACCAAGGCGACGAUCCCUAGCUGGUCUGAGAGGAUUACCAGCCACACUGGAACUGAGACACGGUCCAGACUCCUACGGGAGGCAGCAGUGGGGAAUAUUGCACAAUGGGCGCAAGCCUGAUGCAGCCAUGCCGCGUGUGUGAAGAAGGCCUUCGGGUUGUAAAGCACUUUCAGCGAGGAGGCGUUACUCGCAGAAGAAGCACCGGCUAACUCCGUGCCAGCAGCCGCGGUAAUAC